UACGAAGGGGGGCUAGCGUUGCUCGGAAUGACUGGGCGUAAAGGGCGCGUAGGCGGCUUGCACCGUCAGAUGUGAAAUUCCUGGGCUUAACCUGGGGGCUGCAUUUGAUACGUGUGGGCUUGAGUGCGGAAGAGGGUCGUGGAAUUCCCAGUGUAGAGGUGAAAUUCGUAGAUAUUGGGAAGAACACCGGUGGCGAAGGCGGAUCUCUGGGCCUUACCUGACGCUCAGGUGCGAAAGCUAGGGGAGCGAACAGG
rnacentral:rRNA from 1 species